AUUGAACGCUGGCGGCAGGCUUAACACAUGCAAGUCGAGCGGGGUGAUGGUGCUUGCACUAUCACUUAGCGGCGGACGGGUGAGUAAUGCUUAGGAAUCUGCCUAUUAGUGGGGGACAACAUCUCGAAAGGGAUGCUAAUACCGCAUACGUCCUACGGGAGAAAGCAGGGGAUCACUUGUGACCUUGCGCUAAUAGAUGAGCCUAAGUCGGAUUAGCUAGUUGGUGGGGUAAAGGCCUACCAAGGCGACGAUCUGUAGCGGGUCUGAGAGGAUGAUCCGCAACACUGGGACGGAGACACGGCCGAGACUCCUGCGGGAGGCAGCAGUGGGGAAUAUUGGACAAUGGGGGGAACCCUGAUCCAGCCAUGCCGCGUGUGUGAAGAAGGCCUUAUGGUUGUAAAGCACUUUAAGCGAGGAGGAGGCUCUUUUGGUUAAUACCCAAGAUGAGUGGACGUUACUCGCAGAAUAAGCACCGGCUAACUCUGUGCCAGCAGCCGCCGUAA
rnacentral:rRNA from 1 species